CUCCAUAUAUAUAAAAAUUAUCUUAUAUAUAAUAUUAUAUUAUUAAUUAAUAUAAUGAAAGGAAUUAAGACAAAUCAUAAUGACCCUUAUAAUAUGGGCUAUAGACGUGCUAUAAUAAAAUAAUAAAUAAAGUUAAAUAAUAUAUUAAUAAAUAAUAUAUAAUAAAUAACAUAAAAUAUUUUAAUAUUUAAUAUAUUUUUAUAUUAUAUAUAAUAUGAAUUAUUAACUGUAAUUUGUUAAUAUGAAAUAAGAAUUGUUAGUAAUACGUAAAUUAGUAUGUUACGGUGAAUAUUAUUACUGUUUCGCACUAAUCACUCAUCACGCGUUGAAAUAUAUUAUUAUCUAAAUAUAUUAUAUAAUAUAUAAUAUUUUAUUAAUAUUUAUAUUAAAUAUAUAUAAGAAAUAAUAUUAAUUAAUGCGAAGUUGAAA
rnacentral:rRNA from 1 species